ACGGGUGCUUAACACGUGGGCAAUCUGUCUUAAAGUGGGGGAUAGCUCGGCGAAAGCCGAAUUAAUACCGCAUGUGAUUAGAGUGGACAUCCAUUCGAAAUUAAAGCCGGGGCAACCUGGCGCUUUUUGAGGAGCCCGCGGCCUAUCAGCUUGUUGGUGAGGUAACGGCUCACCAAGGCUUUGACGGGUAGCUGGUCUGAGAGGACGACCAGCCACACUGGGACUGAGACACGGCCCAGACACCUACGGGUGGCAGCAGUCGAGAAUUUUUCUCAAUGGGGGAAACCCUGAAGGAGCGACGCCGCGUGGAGGAUGAAGGUCUUCGGAUUGUAAACUCCUGUCAUUGGGGAACAAGUCGCUUACGUUAACUGCGUGAGCGUUGAUAGUACCCGAAGAGGAAGAGACGGCUAACUCUGUGCCAGCAGCCGCGGUAAUACAGAGGUCUCAAGCGUUGUUCGGAUUCAUUGGGCGUAAAGGGUGCGUAGGCGGCGCGGUAAGUCGGGUGUGAAAUCUUGGAGCUUAACUCCGAAACUGCAUUCGAUACUCCCGUGCUUGAGGACUGGAGAGGAGACUGGAA
rnacentral:rRNA from 1 species